GCCUGACUGUCUCAGCUGGUAGAGAAUGUGACUCUUGAUCUCAGGGCCAUGUGUUCAAGCCCCACGUUGGGCA
rnacentral:tRNA from 1 species